rnacentral:lncRNA from 1 species
UUCUGAAAAGCUGGCUGAGCUCCCCGGGGCCAAAUAAAUAAUUUCACCCUGGAACAGACCUCAGAUCUCACACUGUUACAAUCACUUUCUCACCGUCCGCUCCCCCUUCAGGCAGGGAGCUCCUUCAGGGACAGAGGCCCAGUUUGAUUCCAUCUUGCCAAGCCCAGGGGGAGCCUGGCAUACAGUAGGCACUCAGCAAAUGUUUGUGGCUUGCACACACACGUGGGUAUUAGCGCCCCAGCUUUCUCAAAAGGACACGUCCCCCAGUCGCAGCCGCCAAAGGGGACUCGAGGUUCAGCUUUUCAGCAGUGCCCACGUGUGGAGCCCCGAUGAUGCGCCUGCCCCAGCUAGGAGCUCUGCAGCAACACCGCAUCUCACGCACACAAGCACCUCGAGAAGUGGGGAUUCUGCUCCCGUUUUACAGCGGAGAACGUGGAGGUUCAGAGAAGUCAGAGUCACUUGCUCAAAGUCAGGAGCCCGAAGGGGCAGAAGCAUCUCCAAAGCCCGUGCUCGGAGCCUCCCCCGCCCCAGCUGCCCUUGCUCAUGCGUGGAGAACUAGCCACCGCACAUCCAGGCAAUGGAAUCCUUGGAGAUAAAGUCCAACCUCUGUAUUCUACAAGGGAGGAAACUGAGGCCCACAGAGGGGAGAGGACCUGCUGGAGGUCACCGAGGCAAUGUGAAGACUAGAACCCUGGCCUCCUGACUCCCAGCUCAGGGCUCUUACCUUCUCAGUUAGUCACUUCUCUUGUGUCAUCGCAGCACCCAAAGGCUGUCAGCUGCAUGGAAGGUGCCUCCUCCCGAUCUUUGGCAUAAGCGAAUCUGGAAUAUAAAAAGAGGGCAGGCCUGCCCCAGGGCUUUUGCACUUACUGUUCUCUCUAACUGGAUCACUCCCGCCCCUCUCAGCUUUCAGGGCUGGUUCCCUCACCACCUUCAGAUCCCUGCUUGAAGCUCAGCUUAUCUGUGAUACUUUGCCUGACCACUGUAUUUAAAAUAGCAACACCUCACCCCUCCACUCCCCAUCCCUCUUCCUUGCUAUAUUUUUCUUCAUUGCACUUAACCACCAGCUGCCAUGCCAGAUUCUCCAUAUUAUUGUUUAUUUUUCUAUUGUCUGUCUUCCCCCACCUGUGUGUAAGCUCCAAGAGGCCAGGGUUUCUGCCUGCUUGUUCGUGGUGUUCCUCCCCCAACAGUCUGGCACACAGCUUUGUUGAAUGAAUGGGGAAGCUGGGGGCUUCCCACCAGAGCAGUCAUGGGAACUCUCCCAGUAUGAUCUGGGCAGGUUACUUCCCCCUCUUUCCCUCAUUUUCCUCAUCAGGACAUGGGGAGCUUGCAGUGGCUGCCCCUCCUAGAGAGGUGUGAAGGUAGCACAAGUUACCAUAUGCCAAGCACAGAGCUCAGCGUCAUGCCCAGAGUCCCAGGAUGAUCUCUCGAGAUGACAAGUCAUGGGGGACUCUCACUGCUGCAGAAGGUGGGGCGCCCGGGGCCCCCACAAAGUGGCCUUACUUGAGUUCCAGGAUCCUCCACUGUGGCUGUGGGUGUUCUCACCUGCCAGAUGCUUUUCCUACAUCAUCUUAUUUCUUCAUCACAGCAGACCUGUGAGCAGCAUCUUCCCAUUUCACAGACAGGGAAACUGAGGCUUAGACAGAUGAAGUGACCAGUGCGAAGUCACACAAGAGCAAAGCUAGGGUUCGAAUCUAAGCCCAUCGGGCUCUGUGGCCCCGAGUGCGACUUGGCUAAGGGCGUGGCCUCCAAGAUCACUCCUGUCUUUUCUCCAGCCUGGUCUCCUCCCUGCUGUGCUCUCACAGUCCAGCCUGACAACCAGGGUCCCCUGGGCAGAUGUGGGGGGAUCGGGCCAGAGGUGGCGAGGGGCUGAGGGCUCACGUCUGGCUUCCCACAGCCACCAGCAUUUACUGUGAGACCCGGAUGAGGCGCUUCACCUCUCAGAGCUUCUGUUUGCUCCUCAGUCAAGUGGGGACAAAAAUAGCACAAUACUCACCUUGUGAGGGAGCCAUGAAAGAAAGUGUGAGAAACUCUUGGCACAGGGCCUGGCACAUGGCAAGGCCUCCGUAAAUGUCAGCUGUGAUUAUUUUUAUCACUGACACCAUAUUUGGGGACCCGGGCUGGCACAGUACCUGCCAGGUACCACCUCCCUUCCUGAGCUCUGAUGGUCCAGUGGCCCGCCUGGUUGCCUGGUGGAGGCUCAGAAGGCCGGGGGGGGGGGGGGGUUUGUUUUCUGCCUCUGAGAACCUCCAGGCCUGCCCCAGCCCCUUCUCCUCCAGCAGGCGCUGACAAGCACACAGGCCCCCUUCCAGCCAUGCUCCCUGGAUGCAGUCCCUGAGGGAAGGGCGAGACCCCACACUCCAGGCCCCUAUGCCCAGACCCAUCACCAGGCCUGCGCCCUCACAAGUCUACACACACACUGGGAAGUGCUGCAAACACAGCCACAGCCCCAACACCGCACAUGCCUGUGUACACACACACACACACACACACACACACACACGCACAUGUCCAGGCAUGCAGGUCUCGAG